GGAUAAAGAAUGUCAGUUUCACCAAAUGAAGCGUUGUCAACCACAUGAAUCUUCAGUAUGUGUUUUAACUAGGUGAGACUAGAACACUUCCCUCUGAGAGAGGGCUACAUCCAGCUUGAAUUUGCUGCUUUUGCAACUGCUCCAAUUCACUAGAAGGGAAAACUUCUGAUUGAAGGGAUGGACAUAUUUUGUGCACAUGCAACCACGUCAGUUGCCAGAAACUGUCCCCUCCUACAGGAUCACUUGGCAUGAGAAUUCCACUAGUUUUCAUGAUAAGUAGAGUGUUCUUUAGGAGUUCAGGGACAAGUUCUGGAAUCUUCUCACUCCGUCUACCUUUAAAUUUCAUCUUCAUGCAUCUUUCAGUAUGAUCCAAUAACCCUAACCAUAGUUUGCAGAAGGAUGGCAACUGUGACAGAUGCUCCAAUGAUUGUAGAAACACUUUGAACAUGAGCUUCAGAGACAGAAAAAUUGCUCCUUCUAUGCUCCUGUAAUCCUUCAACGAACCUUGUGGUGCAAGUUCCAGCAAUUCAUCCAGCAUUGUAAAGAUGAGCUGAUCAAAACACUGCAACCACAGAUCAGUUGAAAUGUGAAUCCCCUCAAAUACUGUCAAGCACCUCUGCAACAUCAAGAUGGCAUGACCUCGCACCUCUUCUCUCCAAUCCAAACAAAACUUUCUGAGUCCCUGUACCAGCCUCAACCACAUCUCAGUUAUAUCCUGAGACAUUUUUAUAGCAGCCUCUUCCCCCAGAGCAUCCUUUGUUUUGUGAGACCAUCUAACAAGACAAACAAGUGACCCAGCCAUCAGGUCUAAGGAUCUCACAGCUUGAUCAACACUUCCAAUGCGGGAGUCAGCAAAGUGGCUUGCCGCAUUUAAACAAAGGAUGUAAUUAGCAGGCAGUAGGUGGGCCCCAUCAGCCAUGAUGAAUGAUAGUGUUUCAAAUCCUGCUUCAGAAGCUUCUGGAUGCCGAGCUGUAAUAGAAAGCAGAGAUAUAAUUGUCCGCCAGCCCAUAUUAGAUCUUAUCUGCAUAGCGUUUGCUUUGACAAGGUGCAUCACCUCCUGGGUUAUCUGUUCAAGAAAAGCAUCGGCGACCCUUGCAUCAAGCUUUAAGAUGAGUUGCAGUGACUUGAGGAGCUCAUCUGUGAGGUUUUCCUUGUAAGGAAGCAACCUUUGGCAUAUCCGAAGCACACCAAAAACAGCCUUCUCUACUAAAGAACAAGGCAUUGUUGUUGAUUGGACAAUACUUGCUAUGUGCUCAUAAACAACUUGCCAAAGGAGCAUUAUCCUAUCCCGGUUGUUUAUCGUGAUUGCAAUCAGCAACUCUAGACAGAAUACUGCAGUCUCUUCAUCUUCCAGAGAGAUAUUUCCCUUAUGAGGCCGGCCCGCAGCCAUCACGAGGGCCCGGACAAGCUGUGAAAGGGACUCUGCUUGCAA
rnacentral:misc_RNA from 1 species